CCUAUGGUGAUAACUGCGAGUCGAGCGUCUCUUAGCUAUGGUGGAGACGCGGCGUACGGCUCAGUAACACGUGGCUAAUCUACCCUUAGGACGGGGACAACCCCGGGAAACUGGGGCUAAUCCCCGAUAGGUGAGGAGGCCUGGAAUGGUUUCUCACCCAAAGGGCGUUGGAACCAUGCUUUCUAACGUCGCCUAAGGAUGGGGCCGCGGCCGAUCAGGUUGUUGGCGGGGUAACGGCCCACCAAGCCUAUAACCGGUACGGGCCAUGAGAGUGGGAGCCCGGAGAUGGGCACUGAGACAAGGGCCCAGGCCCUACGGGGCGCAGCAGUUGCGAAACCUCCGCAAUGCGCGAAAGCGUGACGGGGCUACCCCGAGUGCCGGCCGCUGAGGUCAGCUUUUCUCCGGUGUAAUGAGCCGGAGGAAUAAGGAGAGGGCAAGCCUGGUGUCAGCCGCCGCGGUAAAACCAGCUCUCCGAGUGGUAGGGAUGAUUAUUGGGCCUAAAGCGUUCGUAGCCGGUCUGGUGAGUGUCCUGUUAAAUCCACCGACCUAAUCGUUGGACUGCAGGAUAUACCGCCGGACUAGGAGGCGGAAGAAGUUGACGGUAUUUCUGGGGUAGGGGUGAAAUCCUAUAAUCCCAGGAGGACCAUCAGUGGCGAAGGCGGUCGACUAGAACACGCUCGACGGUGAGGGACGAAAGCUGGGGGAGCGAACCGGAUUAGAUACCCGGGUAGUCCCAGCUGUAAACGAUGCAGGUUAGGUGUUGGGGCCAAUUCGCCUCCCCGUGUGAGCCGACACACUACGAAUGUAUAUUACAGUCGCUGGGUGCGCCCACCAGCAUUGGCGAGCGUGACGGUUGUGUGCACCCUCGCCUCUCAAUCUGGAUCCUUUCCUUGGUCCUCGGAUCCACAUCCUAACCAGAACCAUUCGUGUCCCGGGUGAU
rnacentral:rRNA from 1 species